UCUCCGUUGGUGAACCAGCGGAGGGAUCAUUACAGAGUUUUUAACUCACAAACCCAUGUGAAAUUACCAUUGUUGCCUCGGCGGAGCCUACCCUGUAGCUACCCUGUCGGGUGGUUACCCUGUAGCGCACCGCCGGUGGAUUUUCAAACACUUGUUAUUUUUAGUAAUCUGAGCGUCUUAUUUUAAAUAAGUCAAAACUUUCAACAACGGAUCUCUUGGUUCUGGCAUCGAUGAAGAACGCAGC
rnacentral:misc_RNA from 1 species